CCCGACUCCUACGGGAGGCAGCAGUGCGGAAUAUUGGUCACUGGACGAGAGUCUGCCCCAGCCAAGUCGCUUGAAGGAUUACUGCACUAUGGGUUUUCCCCUUCUUUUAUCUUUGAAUAAAAUGCUCCACGUGUGUUCUUUUGUAUGCACCCUCUUAAUAAGGCUCUGCUAACUCCGUUCCCUCAGCCGCGUUCCUACGGAGGAUCCGCUCUUUAUCCGGAUUUAUUGGGUUUAAAGGGAGCGUAGGGGGAGGUUUAAGUCAGGGUGGAAAGUUGGCGGAGCAACCGUAAAAUUGCAGUUGAAACUGGCAGUCUUGAGUACAGUGGAGGUGGGCGGAAUUCGUGGUGUAGCGGUGAAAUUCUUAGAGAGCGAGAAGAACUCCGAUUGCGAAGGCAGCGCACUGGACUGCAACUGACACUGAGGCGCGAAAGUGUGGGGAUCAAACAGGAUUAGAUACC
rnacentral:rRNA from 1 species